rnacentral:tRNA from 1 species
GGGUCGAUGGUCUAGUGGUAUGACGUCUGCUUCACAGGCAGAAGGUCGGCGGUUCAAUUUGCAGUGAAAUGCGUUUCGCGCGACUUUCGCUUCGCGAAAAUCCGCCUCGACCCA